rnacentral:rRNA from 1 species
UAGGGAUUCUUCCACAAUGGACGCAAGUCUGAUGGAGCAACGCCGCGUGAGUGAAGAAGGUUUUCGGAUCGUAAAGCUCUGUUGUUGGUGAAGAAGGAUAGAGGCAGUAACUGGUCUUUAUUUGACGGUAAUCAACCAGAAAGUCACGGCUAACUACGUGCCAGCAGCCGCGGUAAUACGUAGGUGGCAAGCGUUGUCCGGAUUUAUUGGGCGUAAAGCGAGCGCAGGCGGAAUGAUAAGUCUGAUGUGAAAGCCCACGGCUCAACCGUGGAACUGCAUCGGAAACUGUCAUACUUGAGUGCAGAAGAGGAGAGUGGAAUUCCAUGUGUAGCGGUGGAAUGCGUAGAUAUAUGGAAGAACACCAGUGGCGAAGGCGGCGCUCUGGUCUGCAACUGACGCUGAGGCUCGAAAGCAUGGGUAGCGAACAGG